rnacentral:rRNA from 1 species
GUCUUUUUGUUUAUAAUUUAAAGUCUAACCUGCCCACUGAAUUUUUAAGGGCCGCAGUAUUUUGACUGUGCGAAGGUAGCAUAAUCAUUAGUUUUUUAAUUGAAAGCUGGAAUGAAUGGUUGAACGAGGAAAUAUCUGUCUCUAUAUAAAUUUAUUAGAAUUUUAUUUUUAAGUUAAAAAGCUUAAAUAAUUUUAAAAGACGAGAAGACCCUAUAGAGUUUUAUAAAAUUUUUAGUUAAGAAUUUUUAGAAUUUUAUAUUUUUAAUUAAAAUUUUUAUUUUAUUGGGGUGAUAGAAAAAUUUAAUAAACUUUUUUUUUAAUUUUAACAUUUAUAUAUGAAUUAAUGAUCCAAAAUUUUUGAUUAUAAGAUUAAAUUACCUUAGGGAUAACAGCGUAAUUUUUUUAUAGAGUUCUUAUCGAAAGAGAAGAUUGCGACCUCGAUGUUGGAUUAAAAUUUAGGUUUGGUGUAGUAGCUAAAUUAUUAGGUCUGUUCGACCUUUAAAAUUUU